CCUACGGGUGGCAGCAGUGGGGAAUAUUGGGCAAUGGCGGCAACUCUUACCCAGCAAUGCCGCGUGAAUGAAGAAGGUCUUCGGAUUGUAAAGUCCCUUAUUUGGGGGCGAAAAAAAUGACGGUACCCAAGGAAUAAGCCCCGGCUAAAAAUGUGCCAGCGGCCGCGGUAAUACGUAGGGGGCAAGCGUUGGGCGGAAUGACGGGGCGUAAAGGGUGUGUAGGCGGGGUAGCAAGUUAGAAGGGGAAUACCUAGAGCUUAACUCAGGUGCUGCUUCUAAAACUGCUAUACUUGAGUGCGGUAGAGGAAAGUGGAAUUCGUAGUGUAGCGGUGGAAUGCGUAGAUAUUAGGAGGAACACCAGUGGCGAAGGCGACUUUCUGG
rnacentral:rRNA from 1 species